CAGCCCCUGGAUGCCAGCUGUUAUACUGCACUACUGUACUUUUCAAGAGAAAGAAGAAAAGCUUCACAGUUUCUCUUAUGAAUUCAUCAUGACACUGUUACCAAAACUUCACAAAGAUAGUUCACCAAAAGAAAACUACAGGCUCUGUGGCAACAUGGAUGGACCUUGAAGGGAGCACAUCCCACACCUUGUGCUUUUUCCCGCCCAGUUGCUCAGUGCAUCUUUGAGGAAGGAGCUCUGUCUGGAGAGUUCCUCUCCCUGUCCAAAGAAGUUGUCUUUAGCUUGCUGUGGAGGAGAAAGCAAACGGAAGCAAAUUCCUUUUGUGGGGUGAGUACUUGUCAGGAGCUUCUUCAGGGGAGAUUUGUCUUUCUGCAGAAUAAGGGGUUUUAAGUUGUAGCCUCAUAGUUACUUUGGUGAGAGAGUGUUUCCCCAGGACUGUCAAAUGGGUCCUUGGAGAUGGAUGCCCGGCCCCGGGACUGUGGGAGAGACCCUUUGGGAAGAAUGGCUGUCACUGUGGGAGCUGCUGCUGAUACUGUGUGAAUGCAGGGCGCUGGCCUGGGAAGAGCUCGGCCUCUCCAAAGGCAGUGUGGGAUGAAGGAUGCUCCCACAGGUGCGAGACGCUCUGUGCUCAGACAACAGAGGCAGGAGCCUGCUGACACCUCCCCAGGCAUCUUCCCCCUCAUUCCUCUCAGCCCUGCCUUUAGUCUUUGCCUUCCUUCCCUCUCCCU